rnacentral:lncRNA from 1 species
UAUAGCAAAAUAUCUAGUAAAAAAUGAAGAAAUAAAAACUGACAAUGAUAUAUGCCCAGAUCUACCAAGAAGUUUAAUAAAUAAUAAAAAUAUAGCAGAAAAAGAAAUAAUGUUAGGAGUUAGAAAAAUAAAAAUAGAAUUCGAAGUAAAGGAAGAAAUGCAAAAAGCAGAUAUAAUAUUAGGAAUAAAAUGGUUAGAACAAGUAAAACCAUAUAAUAUAGAACAUACACAAUUAACCUUAACAUAUAACCAAGAAAAGUUAUUCUUAAAAAGAGCCUUAACAUGAAAUGAAGAUACAUGUAUUAAUGAAGAUAGUAGUAGAAGGAUAUUACAGUAGAUAUUAUACGCCUAUGAUAGAUACAGGAGCAGAAGCUAAUUUAUGUAGAUAUAAUUGCUUACCAGAAAGCAAAUGGGAUAAACUAAAAACACCAAUAAUAGUUAAAGGAUUUAAUAAUGAAGGAAGCUUAAUUACUUAUAAAGCUAGGAAUGUAAAAAUACAAGUAUGGGAUAAGAUAUUAACAAUAGAAGAAAUUUAUAAUUAUGAAUUAACAUCAAAAGAUAUACUUUUAGGAAGAUAAUGAUAUGUGCCCAGAUCUACCAAGAAGUUUAAUAAAUAAUAAAAAUAUAGCAGAAAAAGAAAUAAUAAUAGGAGUUAGGAAAAUAAAAAUAGAAUUCGAAGUAAAGAAAGAAAUGCAAAAAGCAGAUAUAAUAUUAGGAAUAAAAUGGUUAGAACAAGUAAAACCAUAUAAUAUAGAACAUACACAAUUAACCUUAACAUAUAACAAAGAAAAGUUAUUCUUAAAAAGAGCCUUAACAUGAAAUGAAGAUAUAUGUAUUAAUGAAGAUAGUAGU